CUGACCGGGGACUCGGAGCCUCCCCUCUUCCAGGAGAUGGCGUGCCUCAGUGGCUCCCUGGAGUCUCUUUCCCGAGGUCUUUAGGGUCUAAAAGUGCUGAACCCUCCACAGUGGUUGGUGGAUGAAGGGAAGGAAAGGGGUGACAGGCGAGGGACCCUGCAGGCCUGUUGCCCAGGAGGCCACCCACCCCUGUGGGCACAUCACUCGGCCGGGGAGCCAGUGGCCCUGUGGGUUUGCAUCCCCUGGUGGAUUGGGAGAGCGCCCCUGACCCGCGGUUCCCUCACCACCGCACCCUCACUAGGAAGGGACCAGGCGCAUUAAAUGGUCCCGCUGUCUGGCCAGGCAGCGACGCGGGUGGACCCAGUCCACCUCCCAAACCACCAGUGGUUCCGUGGAGGGCUUGGGGCUGCAGGUGAGACCUUCACAUCGAGGUGAGACGGACAGACUGAAAUCCAGUUCCCACUGGGGCUAAACUUUGACACACCCAUUGGCCGGAGUCCUGUGCCCACUGAGCUGUCUGUUCCGCUCGCUGUCUUUGGGAGAGCAGAGGGCAGAGGUGAGUGUGCUCUGACCCUGACCCUGACCCUGUCCUGCUCUAGGUCAGCGGGGACGGGCUGAGGAUAGGCCGGGGAUCCCACGAAGGGUUGUUUCUUCCCAGUUUCCCUUCUGUGCGAGGAUUUGCUUGGGGUUUAGAUUUGGUUUUGCUUUCCCUGCACACCCCAGCAUGGCACGGUGCCACCGUGGCCUUCAUUCUUGCUCCCGGCCUGGUGAGCACUUCCCAGUUCUCCUGCUGGAUGCCAUCACUUUCCCCGGGGAUGCACCCCUGGGUGACAGACAGGCCAGAGGAUGUGGGUGCUCAGCAGGCAGACCCCAUUCCAGCGCACUCCCCGCACCGGCAGCACCACCUCUGAGUCCCCUGUCUGGUCCCUGAGCAGAUGACUAGCAGGACCUGGGCCCUGAGCACAUGCCACCCUGAGCUCAGAAGUGAUGGAGGGGCACCUUCGGCCAGAGCGGGGGAUCCUGGCUAAGGGGUCAUGGAGAGGAUCAAGGGGGGCAGGCAGACCCACUGAUCCCAGCUUCCCUGACCUUGACUUAAACCUAAAAGCCCAGAUUUUGCAAUUAGUCUAAUCUGCCGACCCCCAGCGAACCAUCCACCAGGCUUUGGGGGCCCCUGUCUCCUUCCUGGGGACACAGCCAGAGCUCUGAAAAGCUAACCGUGGAGAGCAAAUUCCCCCAAGUUGGGUUCGUCACAUCUCUUCCCUGGGGUGUGCAGGGAAAACAAGAGAAGAGGGUUUUUUUUAAGGAUUUUUUUGAGAAUCCCCAACCCAAGAGCCAGUCUGGGAGACAGCUCUCAGGGUGCAGCGGGAGAGCCCCGCGGAUCUUAGCUUAGGCGACAAGCGUCCAUCCAGCCGCACCAGCCUGGCAUCGAGCUUAGAACUUUUACGUCAGGAACGUGCCUGUGGCUCCCAAACAGACCCGUCCUCAGCCUCCUCCAGAUGUGGAGGCCGAGAACGAGACGCAUUCCUUCUCUGCGUUCUCUCAAACAGAUCUUUCCAGCCAUGUCGCCUGGCGGAGCCCAGCUUUAGAAUGGCAGAUAGGACCUCCCAGAGUCUUCAGGUGUUAACGCAGGAGCUUCUAGGUCAGGGGUGGGAGGGCCAUUUGGAUAUUUACAACGUCGUUCACAGGCCAUCCAAAAUCAUCAACGUGAAAAUGAGCCUGCUCUAUGUGGCCAAACAUUUAAUUAACUCACCCCUGAUGCCUUGGCAGGGCCACACCCAAUGGUUUUGCGGGCCUUACUGGCUCGUUCCCCACCCCUGUUCUAAAGCAAGUUUUGGAAGAAAGACUAGUGGCUAUAAAAAUAUAAACAUAUAUAGUUAUAUAUAUUUAAAGAGAUGCCAAUAUAUAAGCAAAAUUACUGUACUCUACGAACCCGUGCAGUGUGACUUGCGUGGUUCCUAAUGCAUGAGUGUAAAUAUUUGCGACCUGCCUUCCUACCUGUGCCGGGCACACUGGAAGCCGGCUCCUGGCCUCGUUCUGUCUCAGUGGGCAUGUGGGCGCCCAUCUGUCCACCCAGGAGCCCAUGAUGUCGAUUUCAUGCUGAGACUUUGCACACGAAGUAGGACCGGCAGCGUUUUUUUUUGGAGGGGGGGGGCUGUUUGUUAAUUACGGGGAAGAAAGCAUCAUGCCUUUUUUAUUUUCAAUAAAAACGUACUUGUAAAGAUG